GAUGAACGCUGGCGGCGUGCUUAACACAUGCAAGUCGAACGAACCAUUUGCGACAUUUUUUUUCGGAAUUAAGUUGCUUAUGACUGAGUGACGGACGGGUGAGUAACGCGUGGGUAACCUGUCUUUUACUGGGGGAUAGCAGCUGGACACGGCUGGUAAUACCGCAUAAGCGCCCAAUGUUACAUGACAUUUUGCUAAAAACUCCGGUGGUAUAAGAUGGACGCGCGUCUGAUUAGCUAGUUGGUGAUAUAACAGCCCACCAAGGCGACGAUCAGUAGCCGGGAAGAGAGGGUGACCGGAGACAUUGGGAGUGAGACGCGGUACAGAAUCUUACGGGAGGGGGGAGAGGGGAAUAUUGCAAAACGGAGGGAAUGCUGAUGGAGCGACGAUGGGUGAAUGAAGUAAUAAUUCGUGAUGUAAAGCUCUAGCAGCAGGGAAGAUAGUGACGGUACCUGACUAAAAAGCCCCGGCUAAAUACGUG
rnacentral:rRNA from 1 species